UCUAAUGAUGACAGUCAAUAGUUUCCUGUCAGCCUGACGGCAGUAGAGCCAUUUUGAAGACAUAAUUUUUAACUCAGCUCACACUGAAUC